rnacentral:rRNA from 1 species
UGGGGAAUAUUGCACAAUGGGCGAAAGCCUGAUGCAGCAACGCCGCGUGAGUGAUGAAGGCCUUCGGGCUGUAAAGCUCUGUCUUUUGGGACGAUAAUGACGGUACCAAAGGAGGAAGCCACGGCUAACUACGUGCCAGCAGCCGCGGUAAUACGUAGGUGGCAAGCGUUGUCCGGAUUUACUGGGCGUAAAGGAUGCGUAGGCGGAUUUUUAAGUGAGAUGUGAAAUACCCGGGCUUAACUUGGGUGCUGCAUUUCAAACUGGGAAUCUAGAGUGCGGGAGAGGAGAAUGGAAUUCCUAGUGUAGCGGUGAAAUGCGUAGAGAUUAGGAAGAACACCAGUGGCGAAGGCGAUUCUCUGGACCGUAACUGACGCUGAGGCAUGAAAGCGUGGGUAGCAAACAGGAUUAGAUACCCUGGUAGUCCACGCCGUAAACGAUGAGUACUAGGUGUAGGAGGUAUCGACCCCUUCUGUGCCGCAGUUAACACAAUAAGUACUCCGCCUGGGAAGUACGAUCGCAAGAUUAAAAC